rnacentral:rRNA from 1 species
GACAGAGGGUGCAAACGUUGCUCGGAAUUACUGGGCGUAAAGCGCGUGUAGGCGGUUUUCGCACGUCCGGUGUGAAAGCCCAGGGCUCAACCCUGGAAGUGCACUGGAUACGACGGAGCUGGAGUACUGAAGAGGAGAGCGGAAUUCCCGGUGUAGAGGUGAAAUUCGUAGAUAUCGGGAGGAACACCAGUGGCGAAGGCGGCUCUCUGGGCAGAUACUGACGCUGAGACGCGAAAGCAUGGGGAGCAAACAGGG